rnacentral:rRNA from 1 species
AUGGUUAAGUUAGAAAGGGCGCACGGUGAAUGCCUUGGCACUAGGAGCCGAAGAAGGACGCGACGAACGGCGAAACGCCUCGGGGAGCUGUAAGUAAGCUUUGAACCGGGGAUAUCCGAAUGGGGGAACCCACCAUCUUUAAUAGGAUGGUAUCCAUAUCUGAAUACAUAGGGUAUGAGAAGGCAGACCUGGGGAACUGAAACAUCUAAGUACCCAGAGGAAGAGAAAGCAAAUGCGAUUUCCUGAGUAGCGGCGAGCGAAACGGAAACAGCCCAAACCAAGAGGCUUGCCUCUUGGGGUUGUAGGACACUCUAUACGGAGUCAAAAAGAAACGGAGUAGGUGAAGCGACCUGGAAAGGUCCGUCAAAGAGGGUAACAACCCCGUAGCCGAAACUUCGUUUCCUCCAGAGUGGAUCCUGAGUACGGCGGGACACGUGAAACCCCGUCGGAAUCCGGGAGGACCAUCUCCCAAGGCUAAAUACUCCCUAGUGACCGAUAGUGAACCAGUACCGUGAGGGAAAGGUGAAAAGCACCCCGGAAGGGGAGUGAAAGAGAUCCUGAAACCGUGUGCCUACAACUAGUUGGAGCCCGUUAAUGGGUGACAGCGUGCCUUUUGUAGAAUGAACCGGCGAGUUACGAUGUCGUGCAAGGUUAAGCUGAUGAAGCGGAGCCGUAGCGAAAGCGAGUCUGAAUAGGGCGAAUGAGUACGCCGUCGUAGACCCGAAACCGUGUGAUCUACCCAUGUCCAGGGUGAAGUUCAGGUAACACUGAAUGGAGGCCCGAACCCACGCAUGUUGAAAAAUGCGGGGAUGAGGUGUGGGUAGGGGUGAAAUGCCAAUCGAACUCGGAAAUAGCUGGUUCUCCCCGAAAUAGCUUUAGGGCUAGCCUCGAGGUGAGAGUAUUGGAGGUAGAGCACUGAUUGGACUAGGGGUCCCCACAGGAUUACCGAAUUCAGUCAAACUCCGAAUGCCAAUUACUUAUCCUCGGGAGUCAGACUGCGAGUGCUAAGAUCCGUAGUCAAGAGGGAAACAGCCCAGACCAUCAGCUAAGGUCCCCAAGUAUACGUUAAGUGGAAAAGGAUGUGGAGUUGCUUAGACAACCAGGAUGUUGGCUUAGAAGCAGCCACCAUUUAAAGAGUGCGUAAUAGCUCACUGGUCGAGUGACUCUGCGCCGAAAAUGUACCGGGGCUAAACGUAUCACCGAAGCUAUGGAUUGACACCUUCAGGUGUCAGUGGUAGGGGAGCGUUCUAAAUGCAGCGAAGUCAGAUCGUGAGGACUGGUGGAGCGUUUAGAAGUGAGAAUGCCGGUAUGAGUAGCGAAAAGAGGGGUGAGAAUCCCCUCCGUCGAAAGCCCAAGGUUUCCUGAGGAAGGCUCGUCCGCUCAGGGUUAGUCGGGACCUAAGCCGAGGCUGAAAAGCGUAGGCGAUGGACAACAGGUUGAAAUUCCUGUACCACCUCCUCACCGUUUGAGUAAUGGGGGGACGCAGAAAGAUAGGGUAAGCGCACUGAUGGAUAUGUGCGUCCAAGCAGUUAGGCUGAGAAGUAGGCAAAUCCGCUUCUCAUAAAGGCUGAGCUGUGAUGGCGAGGG